rnacentral:rRNA from 1 species
UACGGAGGGGGCUAGCGUUGUUCGGAAUUACUGGGCGUAAAGCGCACGUAGGCGGCUUUGUAAGUUAGAGGUGAAAGCCCCGGGCUCAACCUGGGAAUUGCGAUGAAGACUGCAAGGCUUGAAUCUGGCAGAGGGGGGACUGGAAUUCCCGGUGUAGCAGUGAAAUGCGUAGAUAUCGGGAGGAACACCAGUGGCGAAGGCGAGUCCCUGGACAAUUCCUGACGCUGAGGCACGGAAGCUAGGGGAGCAAACAGG